AUGCACACUUCUUCGUAUCUGAAGUUAUACUAUGAGGCAGUCUGCCUAUGUUGGGUUAAGGAUUGGGUAAAGUUAGAGAAUAGGGAGCUACUGGAUUUGGAGGGUCACGACAAUAACUUUGGCUGGCAUGCCUAUUUGUGGCGGGAUAAAUGGAGGAUUCACAGGGGAUUUGGAAACCAUAUUUUUAGAGGACCAUUAAUUGAAAUCUGGGAAAAAUAUAAAAAUUUGCUAGAACCAAAAACGCCACAUUGGCUGUCACCUCUGGAAGUAAUGUGUGUAAAGAAUAUAAAUAUGAGAAGUAACUGGGCAAGAUAUAAUCAGCUAAUAAUUAAAGAAGACGGUAAAUGGAAGGUUCGACCAUACGAGCAGGUUAAAGAGUAUGUUUAUGACUGGUUACACCAUCUCCAGGUGAACCAGAUGUUUAGAAAAGAUCUUAAAGAAAGAGGUUAUGAAGAGAGGGAAUCCAAGUUUCAGACGGAGAUUAUAAACAAAGAAGAGAAAAUUGUAUCGAAAAUGUAUAGGAUACUGUUAGACUGGAGUCUAGGAGAUGAGGAGGUCAAAUGUGUGAUGAUUCGCUGGGCACAAGACGUAGGGCACAGUAUACUAUUUGAAGACUGGGAGAGACUUUGGAAAGAAGGAUUAAAUUUUACGGCAUGUACAAUGAUAAAGGAGAACGUACUGAAGAUGUUCUAUAGAUGGUAUUUAACACCUAUGAAACUAUCAAAGAUGUACAAGGUGGAUAACAAGUGCUGGAAAUGUAGGGUUAGUGAGGGCUCUUUCCACCACAUGUGGUGGGAGUGCGGAAAAGUGAAGCAGUUCUGGGAGAAAAUUUAUAUAGAAUUAAAGAAGAUCUUAAAAUACACGUUCUCAAAGAAGGCAGAACUCUUCUUAUUAGGCAUGUUAGGCCAUGAGAUAAAAAAAGAAGAUUGUAAAUUAGUGUACUAUGCAGUUACAGCAGCAAGAGUAAUGCUGGCCCAGAUGUGGAAAAGACAGGAAACACCAACGGUAGAGGAGUGGAGAUUUAAACUACUAGAUUAUAUGGAAAUGGACAGACUUACAGGCAAAGUAAGAUAUAUAGGAGCCCAAAAAUUUACCAAGGACUGGGGUAAAUAUGUAGAUUAUCUGGAACUUAUCAGUCAAAGGAAAAUAACGCUAAAGGGAUUUAGAGAUGCACUGUAA
rnacentral:lncRNA from 1 species